rnacentral:rRNA from 1 species
ACGCGAAGAACCUUACCUGGUCUUGACAUCCACAGAAGUUUCCAGAGAUGGAUUGGUGCCUUCGGGAACUGUGAGACAGGUGCUGCAUGGCUGUCGUCAGCUCGUGUUGUGAAAUGUUGGGUUAAGUCCCGCAACGAGCGCAACCCUUAUCCUUUGUUGCCAGCGGUCCGGCCGGGAACUCAAAGGAGACUGCCAGUGAUAAACUGGAGGAAGGUGGGGAUGACGUCAAGUCAUCAUGGCCCUUACGACCAGGGCUACACACGUGCUACAAUGGCGCAUACAAAGAGAAGCGACCUCGCGAGAGCAAGCGGACCUCAUAAAGUGCGUCGUAGUCCGGAUUGGAGUCUGCAACUCGACUCCAUGAAGUCGGAAUCGCUAGUAAUC